rnacentral:rRNA from 1 species
GGCGUGCUUAACACAUGCAAGUCGAACGGGAUUUAGUAAACAGAAACUUCGGUGGAAGAUUACUAAUGAGAGUGGCGAACGGGUGAGUAACGCGUGAGCAACCUGCCUAUGACAGUGGGAUAGCCUCGGGAAACCGGGAUUAAUACCGCAUAAAAUCGUAGAAACACAUGUUUUAACGGUCAAAGAUUUAUCGGUCAUAGAUGGGCUCGCGUCUGAUUAGCUAGUUGGUGAGAUAACAGCCCACCAAGGCGACGAUCAGUAGCCGGUCUGAGAGGAUGAACGGCCACAUUGGAACUGAGACACGGUCCAACUCCUACGGGAGGCAGCAGAAGGG